rnacentral:rRNA from 1 species
UACGUAGGGUGCGAGCGUUGUCCGGAAUUAUUGGGUGUAAAGAGCUCGUAGGUGGUUUGUCGCGUCGUCUGUGAAAUUCCGGGGCUUAACCUCGGGCGUGCAGGCGAUACGGGCAAUACUUGAGUGCUGUAGGGGAGACUGGAAUUCCUGGUGGAGCGGUAAAAUGCGCAGAGAUCAGGAGGAACACCGGUAGCGAAGGCGGUUUUCUGGCUGACAACUGACGCUGAGGCGCGAAAGCGUGGGGAGCAAACAGGAUUAGAUACCCCCGUAGUCCCUGA